UGUAAAAAUAUGUGACACUUAUUCGGUAGCCGUGAUAAAUUCGGAGUUUUAUCAUAGCUACCGAAUAAGUGUCACAUAUUUUUACA
rnacentral:pre_miRNA from 1 species